GAACGACCCUUCGGGGUUAGUGGCGCACGGGUGCGUAACACGUGGGAAUCUGCCCUUUGCUUCGGAAUAACAGUUAGAAAUGACUGCUAAUACCGGAUAAUGUCGUAAGACCAAAGAUUUAUCGGCAAAGGAUGAGCCCGCGUAGGAUUAGCUUGUUGGUGGGGUAAUGGCCUACCAAGGCGACGAUCCUUAGCUGGUCUGAGAGGAUGAUCAGCCACACUGGGACUGAGACACGGCCCAGACUCCUACGGGAGGCAGCAGUGGGGAAUAUUGGACAAUGGGCGAAAGCCUGAUCCAGCAAUGCCGCGUGAGUGAUGAAGGCCUUCGGGUUGUAAAGCUCUUUUACCAGGGAUGAUAAUGACAGUACCUGGAGAAUAAGCUCCGGCUAACUCCGUGCCAGCAGCCGCGGUAAUACGGAGGGAGCUAGCGUUGUUCGGAAUUACUGGGCGUAAAGCGCACGUAGGCGGCGACUCAAGUCAGAGGUGAAAGCCCGGGGCUCAACCCCGGAACUGCCUUUGAAACUAGGUUGCUAGAAUCUUGGAGAGGUCAGUGGAAUUCCGAGUGUAGAGGUGAAAUUCGUAGAUAUUCGGAAGAACACCAGUGGCGAAGGCGACUGACUGGACAAGUAUUGACGCUGAGGUGCGAAAGCGUGGGGAGCAAACA
rnacentral:rRNA from 1 species